rnacentral:rRNA from 1 species
GGGCCCGCACAAGCGGUGGAGCAUGUGGUUUAAUUCGAUGAUACGCGAGGAACCUUACCAGGGCUUAAAUGUAACGGGACAGAUCUAGAGAUAGAUCCUUCUUCGGACUCAUUACAAGGUGCUGCAUGGUUGUCGUCAGCUCGUGCCGUGAGGUGUCAGGUUAAGUCCUAUAACGAGCGCAACCCCCAUCGUUAGUUGCCAACGAGUAAUGUCGGGAACUCUAACGAAACUGCCGGUGCAAACCGAGAGGAAGGUGGGGGAUGACGUCAAAUCAUCACGGCCCUUACGUUCUGGGCUACACACGUGCUACAAUGGUCGGUACAGAAAGCAGCCACUAUGCGAAUAGGAG